CAAGCAAGCUCCUUCUCCUCUUCUUCUCCUUCUUCUCCUUCCCUUUCUCUCUCUAGAAGUGUAGGAAGAGUGUGAGGGAGAGAAAAUGAGAGUGAGAGGGGAGGAGAGGCUGCCUAUAGCCUCUAAGGUAACAAAAUCCACUUAGGCCCCUCAAAAACUCAAAUUUGCAUCAGCCCGGUCUGGGCAGUUUUCGCCCAGAGGGACCGGUCUCCCCGACCUGGGACCGGUCUCUCAGCCUGCCCCCGAAAAUCCAACGUUCGGGAACCGGUCUCUCCCUGCGCGGGACCGGUCUCUCCCCGCGCAGACGCGCUCGGGGACCGGUCUCGACUGCCAGGGACCGGUUGCCUCGCCGGCUGCGUAGCACUGUUCACUGGGGGACCGGUCUCUCCCAUCAGGGACCGGUCCCCGAGAGUAAAAACUCUCAGGACCCAGCCAAAACUCUUGAGAUCGAACUUUUAGGCCGGUAUACCAUCGACGGCCCUCCACCAAGUGUGGAGAAGUUCGGAAUACACAUCGAACACUCGAACCUCGCAAUUUGCAAAGGUCCAGGGUGCUACAU
rnacentral:lncRNA from 1 species